rnacentral:lncRNA from 1 species
UAUUUUUUAAUUUUCAUCACAUUAAGUGAUAUAAUUUGAAAUUAUUAUUGAUUUUCACUAUGAAGAAUUCUCACAAUUUAAAUGAUAAGAUGAAAAACUUAAUAUAAAAAAAGGAUUUAUAUUAUGAAAUAAGGAAAUAAAAAUGAAAUGAAAAUAAUAAUAUAAUAUUGAGGAAACAGAACAAGAUUCAUUUUGCGAGAGUAAGG